UUUUUUUUAUAUUUUCUUUUGGAAUUUAUUAAGAUGCAUAUAGAUCACAGUUGAACCACUUGCUUGUUUUUUUUCAGUGUUAAAAUCUUUACAUCCUUGUUACACCAACAUAACUCCAGUGACUAGUUGUGCCAAAGAAACCGUACAAGCUUUACAUUGCAACCUCUUGUAACUAUGGAAAUAUAUAUGGUUCAUUAAUCUACAAAUCCGAGAGGAUGGCAAGAGACCCAUGAACUAUGGACACUUUGCCAAAUAAAAGCAAAAGCCAUCCAGGCAACCAACAAAAAUUUAUACCCUACCAAUUAAAGAAAUCAACUUCAGAAACUUCAUGGCAAAAUUAUGUAAGAAUAUGAAGUACCAUCAACCAUGUAUUGCAGGUUAAAAGAGAGAGGGAGAGAGAAUUACCUUGUGAAAGCCAAGCGCAAGCAUUAAAGUAGCUAGCGAGCAAAGCAGAGAAGCAGUGACUCUGAGCGCUGGCAUCAAAGACUUCAUUGCACCACCUAACUCCACCGGAAGCCCUAUUUAUUCUCAUGGAUUCCAAGAACUAAGCCUUGUGAAUAUCCAGCCCCAAGAAAUCAAAGCAGAGUGGAAACCCAAGGCAUCAACCACGUACUCCGAGAUCUUAAAUAAAAGAAUUAUCAGAAAUGAAUUAUAAAGGCCUGUAAAGAUUUACCAGUGUCAUCUGGUCUCCUAAAGAAAAAACACCGAAGGCUAGUAGAAUGAACACACUCAC
rnacentral:lncRNA from 1 species